rnacentral:tRNA from 1 species
GGAGGUGUAGUUCAGUCGUUGAGCUUUUACUUAGUAUGCAGGAGGCUCUGAGUUCAAUUCCUAGCACCCCUA